UAGGGAAUCUUCCGCAAUGGGCGAAAGCCUGCCGGAGCAACGCCGCGAGAGUGAUGAAGGUCUUCGGAUCGUAAAACUCUGUUACUAGGGAAGAACAAAUGCGUAAGUAACUAUGCACGUCUUGACGGUACCUAAUCAGAAAGCCACGGCUAACUACGUGCCAGCAGCCGCGGUAAUACGUAGGUGGCAAGCGUUAUCCGGAAUUAUUGGGCGUAAAGCGCGCGUAGGCGGUUUUUUAAGUCUGAUGUGAAAGCCCACGGCUCAACCGUGGAGGGUCAUUGGAAACUGGAAAACUUGAGUGCAGAAGAGGAAAGUGGGAUGCCAUGUGUAGCGGUGAAGUGCGAAGAGAUAUGGAGGAACACCAGUGGCGAAGGCGACUUUCUGGUCUGUAACUGACGCUGAUGUGCGAAAGCGUGGGGAUCAAACAGG
rnacentral:rRNA from 1 species